ACGCACGCUGGCGGCAGGCCUAACACCUGCAAGUCGAGCGAGCAUUUCGGUGCUAGCGGCGGACGGGUGAGUAACGCGUGGGAACGUGCCCUUUUCUGCGGAAUAGUCCUGGGAAACUGGGGGUAAUACCGCAUACGCCCUUUUGGGGAAAGAUUUAUCGGAGAAGGAUCGGCCCGCGUUGGAUUAGGUAGUUGGUGGGGUAAUGGCCCACCAAGCCGACGAUCCAUAGCUGGUUUGAGAGGAUGAUCAGCCACACUGGGACUGAGACACGGCCCAGACUCCUACGGGAGGCAGCAGUGGGGAAUCUUAGACAAUGGGGGCAACCCUGAUCUAGCCAUGCCGCGUGAGUGAUGAAGGCCUUAGGGUUGUAAAGCUCUUUCAGCUGGGAAGAUAAUGACGGUACCAGCAGAAGAAGCCCCGGCUAACUCCGUG
rnacentral:rRNA from 1 species